rnacentral:rRNA from 1 species
AACGAACGCUGGCGGCAGGCCUAACACAUGCAAGUCGAGCGCGCCCUUCGGGGUGAGCGGCGGACGGGUGAGUAACGCGUGGGAACGUGCCCUUUUCUACGGAAUAGCCUCGGGAAACUGAGAGUAAUACCGUAUACGCCCUUUGGGGGAAAGAUUUAUCGGAAAAGGAUCGGCCCGCGUUGGAUUAGGUAGUUGGUGGGGUAAUGGCCUACCAAGCCGACGAUCCAUAGCUGGUUUGAGAGGAUGAUCAGCCACACUGGGACUGAGACACGGCGCAGACUCCUACGGGAGGCAGCAGUGGGGAAUCUUAGACAAUGGGGGCAACCCUGAUCUAGCCAGGCCGCGUGAGUGAUGAAGGCCUUAGGGUUGUAAAGCUCUUUCAGCUGGGAAGAUAAUGACGGUACCAGCAGAAGAAGCCCCGGCUAACUCCGUG